AACAACUAAAGAAGUGAUACAUGUAGAAAAACUCUAUGUUUCAAAAGGUAUAUAAAUAAUGUAAAUAGAUCAUUAAAUUUAUAAAUCAUAAAGUGAUAAAGUAAUACUCUAUCUAAUACAUUCAAAAGUUGAAAAAUAUGACUACAUUUAUCAAGCUUGUUCAUGUUAUGAUUGUUUUUCUUUCUUUAUUUCUUGUUAUAAUCAACGUUAAUGGAGAAGGAGAAGAGACACUUAUAGAGCGUCGUACAUGUUUUACCCCUGCUGAUUGCCCAACAAGUGAUUGUGAACCUCCUACGAGACCUUUUUGUGCAUUCAAGUAUUGUAUUUGUGGUUGAGUGAUUUCACAUAUGAUCAUUACCAGAUACAAUAGAGUAUAGACAUGCCUUACUAUAGUAUUCAAUAAAUUGUCCUUAGUUAUGCUGUUUGCACCUAACACUUUAAUUUAAUGUUUGUUUUUAUUUAAAUUUCAAGGACCUUAUAGUUAUGGCUUUGUACUCUAGGAAAAUGGUAAUGAAAUGAAAUAAAGUAUUAAAAAUAUAAUACUUCAAUUUAGCUAUAUCAA